AUUGAACGCUGGCGGAAUGCUUUACACAUGCAAGUCGAACGGUAGAGGGGGCAACCCCUCGAGAGUGGCGAACGGGUGAGUAAUAUAUCGGAACGUGCCCAGUCGUGGGGGAUAACGUAGCGAAAGUUACGCUAACACCGCAUACGAUCUAAGGAUGAAAGCGGGGGAUCGCAAGACCUCGCGCGAUUGGAGCGGCCGAUAUCAGAUUAGGUAGUUGGUGGGGUAAAGGCUCACCAAGCCAACGAUCUGUAGCUGGUCUGAGAGGACGACCAGCCACACUGGAACUGAGACCCGGUCCAGACUCCUACGGGAGUCAGCAGUGGGGAAUUUUGGACAAUGGACGCAAGUCUGAUCCAGCCAUUCCGCGCGCAGGAUGGAGGCCCUCGGGUUGUAAACUGCUUUUGUACGGAACGAAAAGGUCUCUCUUAAUACGGGGGACUCAUGACGGUACCGUAAGAAUAAGCACCGGCUAACUACGUGCCAGCCGCCGCAGUAA
rnacentral:rRNA from 1 species